ACGGCGGCGAGGUCGAGAGUGCCGGCCGAUUGACCGGCGAAUACAAGUGUAAUGGCGCCUAGAGAGUACUGACAUAAGGAUGUGAAGAUUGCCGGUCCAGCGAGGUACCAGAGCUUCUUGGAUUCAGCACGGAAUUGUGUGAAGAAAUCUCGUAGUCCAUUAAGGUGUUCGAUGUCUCCUUCGGCGGUAAAAGAGACGAUUCUUCCUCCGGGGAGCUGCUG